UCAAAAUACUUUUUUCUCAGUGUGCUAAUAAAAGAGGGAAUGAAAAUCAAAAGCUUAAUUGUUCAAAACAAUCUAAACACCCAGAUACAAUAACGGAAGAAAAUUUACUUUUCUUUCAAAAAAUUGUAAAAAUUUCUGAAGAAUCUUAUAACAUGCAACAAAAAGAAAUGUUAUCUGAACGACAAACGCACCAGCUAUCAAAUGUUUACACUGAACCGGCACCAUUAAAAAUAAAAAUAAGUCCACAUUACGAGAUUUACUUACCAAGAAGUACUUACCUCUAUAUAGAGCGAAAAAGUGAAAUUGCUAGAGGAAAAUAUGAUUGGCGUAUUUUGGUAAAAGAAACAUUGUUAGAGGUUUAUGGUGAUAACAUAAAAAACUAUUCGGCUGAAGGAGUUCGUGGUGGGUCUCCAGGUAUCAAUCCAGAAUGAUAUCGAGCACUUUAUGAUUGGGCAACUUUGGUAACUCAUAAAGAAUGCAUCCUAGAUUCUCAAUUUGCAGAGUGUAUAAAUCAAGUUACGAGAAAUAAAAGGAAAGCCAAAAAAAUUAAGGGACAGAAAAUGAUA